UACAGAGGGUGCGAGCGUUGUUCGGAUUUACUGGGCGUAAAGGGCGCGUAGGCGGCACCGCAAGUCGACUGUGAAAUCUCCGGGCUUAACCCGGAAAGGUCAGCCGAUACUGCGGGGCUAGAGUGCAGAAGGGGCAACUGGAAUUCUCGGUGUAGCGGUGAAAUGCGUAGAUAUCGAGAGGAACACCUGCGGCGAAGGCGGGUUGCUGGGCUGACACUGACGCUGAUGCGCGAAAGCUAGGGGAGCGAACGGG
rnacentral:rRNA from 1 species